rnacentral:rRNA from 1 species
UACAGAGGGUGCAAACGUUGUUCGGAAUUACUGGGCGUAAAGGGCGCGUAGGCGGCCUGUUAAGUCGAACGUGAAAUCCCCGGGCUCAACCCGGGAACUGCGUCCGAUACUGGCAGGCUUGAAUCCGGGAGAGGGAUGCGGAAUUCCAGGUGUAGCGGUGAAAUGCGCAGAUAUCAGGAGGAACACCGGUGGCGAAGGCGGGUCUCUGGGCCGAUACUGACGCUGAGGAGCGAAAGCGUGGGGAGCAAACAGG